AAGCAUGCCAGUGUUUACAGGCGAGUGGAAGAACACGUGUGUGUGUGUGUGUGUGUGUGUGUGUGUGAGAGCAGCUGCGCUGAUCAGCAGAGGGAAGGACAGCUGUUAUAACAUGCUGCAGUGUGUGUCUGCUGGUCACUAUCAUGGCUCUCGCGAACCUCAUGCCUCACACACAUGGUGAAAUCUGACCGGUUACUGACCCCAACAACGAUCAUGUGACACUGAAGACUGGAGGAAUGAUGCUGAAAAUACAGCGGAGCAUCACAGAAAUACAUUACACUUUGACUCAUUCGUACAGAAAACAGCUGUCCACCUGUCACUCAAGUGGUCUUAAUUAUGCAGAACUUUAAGGCUUAAUUUAAUUUAAACAGAUGAGUUAUUCACCCCCUCACCAGGCUGUAAACGUUUUUUUUUUUCUGCUGUAAAGUUGGCCAUUUUAACAUGGGAGUCAAUGGAACUGACUGCCUUUUGCAGCCAGCCUCAAGCGGCCAGUCGAUGAAUUACAAUCACUUCUGUAUGGGUUUCACGAGAGAGAGCAGGAGGUUGCCGCUAAAGACAAACAUUAAAAUCUGAUAAUUUCCCACAAAAAGGUUAUUUUGGGCUGGUAGAGUUCACUAGUUUGUUUAUGUAAUCUAGGGCAGGACGAUAUGGCAAAGUUGUUUAUAUAUGUGUUUUUUUUUUAAGUUGAAAAUGUAACUACAACAUGAUUCAAGUAACUUUUUUAACUCUCUAGUUGAAGAAAAUUCUAUUCCAAGUGCAGCACACAUGAAGUUGUCAACAUGAUGUAAAUGUUAAACAAAUCACUUAAAGGUACAGGUUGUAGGACCUGCCACUAGACGGCGCACUACCAAAACAAUAACAAUCACGUGGUUUGAUGACA